rnacentral:rRNA from 1 species
AUUGAACGCUGGCGGCAGGCUUAACACAUGCAAGUCGGGCGGAGAGAGGUAGCUUGCUACCGAUCUUAGCGGCGGACGGGUGAGUAAUGCUUAGGAAUCUGCCUAUUAGUGGGGGACAACAUUUCGAAAGGAAUGCUAAUACCGCAUACGUCCUACGGGAGAAAGCAGGGGAUCUUCGGACCUUGCGCUAAUAGAUGAGCCUAAGUCGGAUCAGAUAGUUGGGGGGGUAAAGGCCUACCAAGGCGACGAUCUGUAGCGGGUCUGAGAGGAUGAUCCGCCACACUGGGACUGAGACACGGCCCAGACUCCUACGGGAGGCAGCAGUGGGGAAUAUUGGACAAUGGGCGCAAGCCUGAUCCAGCCAUGCCGCGUGUGUGAAGAAGGCCUUAUGGUUGUAAAGCACUUUAAGCGAGGAGGAGGCUACUUUAGUUAAUACCUAGAGAUAGUGGACGUUACUCGCAGAAUAAGCACCGGCUAACUCUGUGCCAGCAGCCGCCGUAACAC